rnacentral:rRNA from 1 species
CCUACGGGAGGCAGCAGUGGGGAAUAUUGCACAAUGGGGGAAACCCUGAUGCAGCGACGCCGCGUGAGUGAAGAAGUAAUUCGUUAUGUAAAGCUCUAUCAGCAGGGAAGAAAAUGACGGUACCUGAGUAAGAAGCCCCGGCUAACUACGUGCCAGCAGCCGCGGUAAUACGUAGGGGGCAACCGUUAUCCGGAUUUACUGGGGGGAAAGGGAGCGUAGACGGGUGUGCAAGUCUGGAGUGAAAGGCGGGGGCUCAACCCCCGGACUGCCCUGGAAACUGUACGGCUGGAGUGCAGGAGAGGUAAGUGGAAUUCCUAGUGUAGCGGUGAAAUGCGUAGAUAUUAGGAGGAACACCAGUGGCGAAGGCGGCUUACUGGACUGUAACUGACGUUGAGGCUCGAAAGCGUGGGGAGCAAACAGGAUUAGAUACCCCUGUAGUC